UACAGAGGUCCCAAGCGUUGUUCGGAUUCAUUGGGCGUAAAGGGUGCGUAGGCGGCGCGGUAAGUCGGGUGUGAAAUCUCGGGGCUUAACUCCGAAACUGCAUUCGAUACUGCCGUGCUUGAGGACUGGAGAGGAGACUGGAAUUUACGGUGUAGCGGUGAAAUGCGUAGAUAUCGUAAGGAAGACCAGUGGCGAAGGCGGGUCUCUGGACAGUUCCUGACACUGAGGCACGAAGGCCAGGGGAGCAAACGGGG
rnacentral:rRNA from 1 species